rnacentral:rRNA from 1 species
CCUACGGGAGGCAGCAGUAGGGAAUUUUCGGCAAUGGGGGGAACCCUGACCGAGCAACGCCGCGUGAAGGAAGAAGGAAUUCGUUCUGUAAACUUCUGUUAUAAAGGAAGAAAGACGGAUGGAGGAAACGACAUCCGAGUGACGGUACCUGAGGAAUAAGCCACGGCUAACUACGUGCCAGCAGCCGCGGUAAUACGUAGGUGGCAAGCGUUAUCCGGAUUUACUGGGUGUAAAGGGCGUGUAGGCGGGAAAGCAAGUCAGAUGUGAAAACCAUGGGCUCAACCUGUGGCCUGCAUUUGAAACUGUUUUUCUUGAGUACUGGAGAGGCAGACGGAAUUCCUAGUGUAGCGGUGAAAUGCGUAGAUAUUAGGAGGAACACCAGUGGCGAAGGCGGUCUGCUGGACAGCAACUGACGCUGAGGCGCGAAAGCGUGGGGAGCAAACAGGAUUAGAUACCCCAGUAGUC